GGGCGGUUAGCUCAGCCGGAUAGAGCGCCAGUCUUACACACUGGAGGUCACAGGUUCGAACCCUGCACCGCCCA
rnacentral:tRNA from 1 species